AGUGAACGCUGGCGGUAGGCCUAACACAUGCAAGUCGAACGGCAGCACAGUAAGAGCUUGCUCUUACGGGUGGCGAGUGGCGGACGGGUGAGGAAUACAUCGGAAUCUACUUUUUCGUGGGGGAUAACGUAGGGAAACUUACGCCAAUACCGCAUACGACCUACGGGUGAAAGCAGGGGAUCUUCGGACCUUGCGCGAUUGAAUGAGCCGAUGUCGGAUUAGCUAGUUGGCGGGGUAAAGGCCCACCAAGGCGACGAUCCGUAGCUGGUCUGAGAGGAUGAUCAGCCACACUGGAACUGAGACACGGUCCAGACUCCUACGGGAGGCAGCAGUGGGGAAUAUUGGACAAUGGGCGCAAGCCUGAUCCAGCCAUACCGCGUGGGUGAAGAAGGCCUUCGGGUUGUAAAGCCCUUUUGUUGGGAAAGAAAAGCAGCAGGUUAAUACCCCGCUGUUCUGACGGUACCCAAAGAAUAAGCACCGACUAACUUCGUG
rnacentral:rRNA from 1 species